CAUGGUACGUGGUUGCCAUUUCUGCUUGAUUUCCAGGCACCUUUUUGGUUGGAGAUGGUCUCAGUGCUUUCUCUAUGCUCCGAUAGGCAGCGUGUCACAGAGCGAAAUGCCAGGGAAGCACAGACUUCUGCUCGGGGUCAUCUAAGGAAUAAAAGCAGGAUAUCACUGCCGGGUUGUUUGGUGGGAAAACACCUAAAGUCAACACGGAGAGGUACUGGAAAUAGCAUUCAGAUGGUGGUGGGAUAUCCAGUGCGUCGGAUGGAAGCACAUGAAAGGUUCAAGCAGAAACAAGGGUCGGUCAGAUGGUUCCCAGGAUGGAUUUUUUUACCCCAGUGCGGCUUGUACUUUUCUUGA
rnacentral:lncRNA from 1 species